rnacentral:lncRNA from 1 species
GUGCCCCUGGGAAAUGGCAGAGGAAGACAGCUUCAGCCUCAGAGCACACAGCACUGAGUUGUAAGAAACAGGUCUCAUCAUCCCCUUGGCCAGCAGAUUUUCACCCUGGGCCCACUAAGAAGCCUGCCAGGGGGUCCUCUGUUGUCUGGACCCUGAGGCUUCAUCCUCAAUGUGUUGGAGCCUAGGAGAGAGGAUUAGAGUUAUGCGGUAGGUGUGGGAGUUGUGUUUGAUGGGCUAGGAGUUGGGUGAGGAGGGAUCCUCAGUUUUGGGUAAAGGCAAAAAGGCAAGGAAGCCAGGAAAAAGCAAGGAGUUGGAAUAAAGACAGAGUGUGGGAGAAAGAGAGUGAGCUGGGUACAGGGGUGGGAGCAGAUGUAGAAGGAGGAGGACAGAGAAUCUGACUCAGGAUUGAGACAGCCCGUGGGAAGUGGAUCCCUAGCGUAGGAACAGGAGAGAGCCAGAGAGGAGAGGUAAGAGGGGGCAAGAUUCGGGGGUUAAGUAGAGGCAAGCCGGCAGGCAAGCACUGCAUGGCUAGUUGAGAAUGGAAAGGGGACGUGGUGAUCUAGGAAGUUUCUGUUUAAAGGCAGAGAGUGUAUGGUCAGGCAGGGGCUGUAUCUAUUUUCUUGUUUGUUUAUUCUGUUGUUUGUUUGUUUGUUUGUUUUGAGACAGAGUUUCCCAACGGUGCAGUCUCUACUCACCGCAACCUCUGCCUCCCGGGUUCAAGCAAUUCUCCUGCCUCAUUCUCUUGGGUAGCUGGGAUUACAAGCAUGCGCCACCACUCCCAGCUAAUUUUGUAUUUUUAGUAGAGAUGGGGUUUCUCCAUGUUGGUCAGGCUGGUCUCGAACUCCUGACCUCAGGUGAUCCGCCCAGCUCAGCUUCCCAAAGUCCUGGGAUUCCAGGCAUAAGCCACUGCGCCUGGCCUGUUUCUAUUUUCUUUUGCCAGGCAGGUUAUGUUAUACUGGGGUUUCUUGCUGAGGUCUGUCCUGGGACUGUCUGAGGUGUCACAAAGAGCCCACAGGUACAGACGAGAAAUUUGAAAGUGAAUCCAGACGCAGCAGAUGACAGCAAGAUGGGACUCCAAGUUCUCUUUCUAGAAAUUACAAGCUGCUCCGCUACCCACACAUGUAGCUCAUUCUCCCUGUGGCCAAGACACUCCUGUGCCUGAGGGAAAGGCAAUGCCUGCGGCAGAAACGGAGCGGUCCCCCAGCCAGGGGAGAGAGUGGCACCUAGUAUGGUACCCAAUGCUCUAAGGCAUGGAGCUGAUUGACUGCUGACUGUAGACCAGCCACUCACCACAGUGUAGGUUGGAAGCCUUCUAAGGCCGUGCGUUCUGCAGAGUCAGCCCAUGAUGGGGCCAGGAGUGUGGGCUCCAGUGUCACCCCCUUGGGAUUUAAUCCUGGCUGCACCUCUGGGGGCCUUGGGAGAGUAUAAGGGAAAGAAAUAGUCCCUUCCUUUCUUUGGAGAGAAGGAAUCCACAAGCUGGAAGGAGGGACCCUGGCACGAAGAAAGGCACAGGCCCCUCCAUAACUUGUUUCUACCACUCCCCUUUGAGGGCCCCUGGGGAAGGUUGGUUAGUCUUGAAUCUGUGCCCAGGAGAAACCAAAAAUCCUUAGUGGGGUUUCUCCCUGUCCUAGGCCUCCUGUCAGAGCUAGCGGAGAUCUGCUGGAAGGAGGCCGGGAGGAGGGGAUGUACGGAUGCCAUCAUGCCUGGAUGGAGGACCAGAAGGUCUUUAUAACAAGUAUUUGUGGAGCUCCUAAUAUGUGCCAAACUGUGGUAGACCUGGAUACCCAGAAACACGGCCACUCCCCUAAAGGAGGUUGCAGGCUAUACCAAUUAAAAUAAUUAUCUCAGUCCCUUCUUAUCAACAGAGUCGUCCAUGGAGACUAUUUCUCCCCCUGCCCCAGGCACACAGAAGCCUUGAGGCUUUCAUUGUGGCCCCACGGUGACAGCACACCCAGGUGGCACUCUCAGCUUAUCACUGAUUUGCAGAGCUGCUGUCUUGCAGCUAAAAGCAAUGUGCUGGUGGAUUUUUAAAAAGAAGUUCUGAGAGGCUUCUUAGAAGGUCUUUCUCCACAUCACUAACUAUUCGGAUUCCGGAGCACGGUGCCAAGCCCCUCCAUUUACUGCAGCCUUGCCCUUCCUCUCAAGAUCCAGCCGCUAAUGCUAUGGGAUGGCUGGUGGCCCCACUUGGGCUCCCCCAACCCCCACCUCGACCCCUAGCUUCCGCCUGUUUGGAGCUGUUAUCAGAGGAAACAGACUUGAACAUGACGGAGUUGCUGUCUCUUGGGCCUGACCAGAGAGUUGUGUUUUCUUGGCCUAUAUCACCUCAGAUUUAUCCUCGGCCUGACCGCAGUCAUUAUCAGCUAAAUUCACCAUCUCUAGAUGCCCAGAAGAUUUCAAAAGUGGACUAUAGGCUGCCAGUUGGUGUUAGAGUUCAGAGAAUCCCUGGACUUCAGCACUAGAAAGGAGCAGCUGCUAUGUCGGGGGUGUCAGGGGCUGGAUGCAGGGGCUGUUGCACUGAUCCCAGCUUGCUCCAUUCACAAGCCCCUCAUCCAUCUCUGAAGACUGGGACCAAAGCCAGGGCUGGGGCAGGCCUCUCUGGGCACAGGGGCCUGUUAGCAUUGGUUUCAUUCCUUCACCAAGAGGCCUAAAGACAUUGGAAUGAUGAGGCAAUUAAUGUGAAACAGAAACAAGUGGCUUUAGUUCCAGGCAUUUGAAACUGAAAGGAAGCUGUUGACAUUCUUUGAGACCCACUCUAGGCUAUGAUUUUUGCUGUGCUAGCCAGAACUCUGCUACUUACUUGAAGUAGGACCUUGGGAAAGUCCCUUCUCUAGGUCUCAAUUUCCUCAUAUGUAAAAGUGCAUCUGGGAUUAGUCAAGACCCUUCCAAGCCUGACAUGCUAUGGUCUAAGUGUCCCAGUAAUCUCUCUGUCACCCAGGGAUCAAAGAUUUACAGAUGUGUAGGAGAGAUGGGGAGGAACACACUAAGAUAUGUCCUUGUGAGUUUAGUUAACUAAAAGACUGGGGGAAAGAAAGGGAAGUAAGAAAAUAAAGUGAAAAGGUGGAAGAAGGCAGAGUGUAAAAGAGGGAGAUAAGGAAAGUACAAAAGAUAGAGAUGUCUGCUGCAAUUUCUCAGUACUCUUCAGAUACAUCCUGGCCAGGUUUACUUUCUUAGGGGCAGGGUAGAUUGUGAGGGUGUGGAAAAUGGUAUUUUUUCAAAGAGAGUCACAAUAGUAUUGCCAUCUCACAUGCUGUUAUACAAUGUGAUCUUGCCAUUUCUCUACCAAGAUAAAUGCAGUCUAGUUUCUCUCCCUUUAAAUCUGAGCUGGCCGUAAGACUUGCAUGAACAAUAAAAUGUGGUGGAAGUUAUUCCAAGUGACUUCUGAGGCUUGGUCAGAAGCAGCUUUCCCUUAGUUACUUUGAGACAUUUGUUCUGAGGGAAGCCAAUCUGACUACCUGAGGCCAUUGUGCUGGAGAAGCCACACAUUGGCAUUCCUGUUGACAAUCCUAGCUGAACCCUGCCUUCUAAUCAUUUCCCUCAAGGCUUAUCAAAUAAGUGAAUGAAGCUAUCUUGGACUCUCCAGACCAGCCCAUGCUGCAGCUAAGUAUUACUGAUCAAUUUCACUUUAUACCACAGGGAGCGGAAGAAUCACCUAGCUGAGCCCUACCCAAAUUCCUGCUGUGUUUGUGCCUAGAUUUUUUUUAUAAAACAAAACACACUGGAACAGGAUGGCAGGAGAUUUUUUUGUUUUUGUUUUUUAAACGCUUGUUUCAAACAGCAAUGAAAAAUCCUUAAAAAUGUAUAAAUAAGACUUCAAGAUUUUAGAGGUGUGAAAUUUCAAAAGAAAUCUGGAGGCUGGGCGUGGUGGCUCACGCCUGUAAUCCCAGCACUUUGGGAGGCUGAGGCAGGUGGAUCACAAGGUCAGGAGAUCGAGACCAUCCUGGCUAACACAGUGAAACCCCGUCUCUACUAAAAAAUACAAAAAAUUAACUGGGCGUGGUGGCAGGCGCCUAUAGUCCCAGGUACUCAGGAGGCUGAGGCAGGAGAAUGGCAUGAACCUGGGAGGUGGAGCUUGCAGUGAGCCAAGAUCGUGCCACUGCACUCCAGCCUGGGUGACAGAGUAAGAUUCCGUCUCAAAAAAAAAAAAAAAAGAAAUCUGGAAGCCAACUUUCAAUUUGCCCAUUAAGGACUUUAGUACAAAACUACCAUCUUCUAUAGGUCAUUAUAUCGUUUUUGUUUUUGAGACAGAGUCUCACUCUGCCACACACAUUGCAGUGCAGUGGCGCAGUCUUGGUUCACUGCACCCUCCCUGUCCCAGGCUCAAAUCGUCCUCCCACCUCAGCCUUCCAAGUAGCCAGGAAUACAGGUAUGCACUACCAUGCCCAACUAAUUUUUAAUUUUUUUUUAGUAGAGAUGAGGUCUCAAUGAAGCAGUGUUGUUGCCUGGGGUAAAUACCCGGGUUCAUCAUCUCGAGCCAAGAAGAUUAAGGACAUGAACACACAUGAAGAGUAAGUUUAGGAGCAGAGGUUUAAUAGGCAAAAGAAAGAGAAAGGAGAACAGCUCUCUCCCUUGCAAAAGAGAGGGGCUCCCAAAGGGGAAAACCCAGCCUGCGGUGGACUACACCCGAUUUUAUAGGCAAGCUUGAGAAGGCAGUGUCUGAUUUAUGUAGGGUUCACAGAUUGGUUUGACCAGUAUGAUGUUUACAUAGUAUUCACGGAAGGCUGCAUGCCCCACCCUAAUCUUAUUAUGUAAAUGGAGUCUUUGCCUGGCUGGCGCCAUAUUGUCUUCUCCUUACUGUACAUGUGGUUUGACAAAGGGAAGGGAAGAUGAAGCUGCCAUUUUGAACAUGCCUAGUCCCAGGUAGCCUUUUCCUGUUGGCACAACUGCUGGCAUUCACCUGUACAAGCUUCCAGCUUGCUUACCUAUGUCUGCAGCUCGAUUUUACAGGCUGCUCUUUGUAGAAAAAAAAACAAAAAACUAUUUUGAGACUGCUUUUCAUGAAAAGAAAAACCUUACCAAGGACUCCCAGACCCUCACUAUCUGCCUAAGUAAUUUCUUCUUAACUCCUGUAUCAUUACUAUAUUGCCCAGGCUGGUCUCAAAUUCCUGGGCUCAAGUGAUCCUCCCACCUUAGCCUCCCAAAGUGCUAGGAUUACAGGCAUGAGCCACUGUGCCCAGCCAUGUUGUAUUUUUUAAAGUACAGUUUAUCAUGAAAAAGGGAGAAAAGGUACUACAUCCAACCAGAAUGGCUAAAAUGAAAGAGAUAAACACUAUCAAAUUUUGACAAAGAUAUGAAACAACCAGAACUCUCAUAUAUGCCUGGUGGCAGUGUAAAAUGGCAUAGCCACUUUAGGAAAUAGCUUGGUAGUAUCCACUAAAGCUGAAAAUAUGCAUAUAUUCAAUUGUAUUCUUAAGUAUAUAUCCUACAAAAAUUUAUGAGCGUUUUAACCAAAAGAUCUGUGUACAAAUGUCCAUAGCAGUAAUCUUUUCUUUUUUUUUUUUUUUUUUUUUUUUUUUUGCUCCAGUCAAGGGAGAAGCAGUGAUGUUUUAGUAUCCAGAAAGUGGAAAUAACCCAAAUGCCCAUCAACAGCAGAAUGAAAUUGUACUAUAUUCACACCAUGGAAUAUUGUAUAGCAAAGAGAAUGAAUGAACUAUUAACAGAAAAGACAUGGACAAAUCUCAUAAACAUGAUGCUGAAAGAAACCACAGUCAAAAAAGUACAUUAUUUUGUGAUUCCAUUUAUAUAUAGUGGGAAAAGGAAGCAACAUUAAUUUAUGGUGUUAGAAGUUAGGAUAGUGGUUACCCUUAGGGGUAGUGACUGAAAGAGAACAUGAGAGGGGUAUUGGGGGUACCGUGAUGUUUUGGUUCUUCAUCUGGGUGCUAGUUGCAUGGGGUUGCUCACUUUAUGAAAUACCAUUGAGUGGUAUGCUUUUGACCUGUGCACUGCUCUGCAUGUGUGAUAUACUUCAAAAUGAAACAUUAAGAUACAGGAGGAAGGACAUAGUCUCAAAGCAAAGGACAGUUUUUUUGUUGUUGUUUGUUUGUUUGUUUUAUUUUGUUUUGAGACAGAGUCUUGCUCUGUUGCCCAGGCUGGAGUGCAGUGGCGGGAUCUCGGCUCACUGCAACCUCUGCCUCCCAAAUUCAAGCAAUUCUCCUGCCUCAGCCUCCCGAGUAGCUGGGAUUACAGGCGUGCACCACCAGACCGGCUAAUUUUUGUAUUUUCAGUAGAGACAGGGUUUCACCAUGUUGGCCAGGCUGGUCUUGAACUCCUGACCUCAGGUGAUCUGCCUGCCUCAGCCUCCCAAAGUUCUGGGAUUACAGAUGUGAGCCACCAUGCCCAGCCAGAACAAGUCUUUAAAAACUAAAUUUAACUUUAUGAACAGUUUUACGAAAAAUGUACUAUAUUUGUCCACAUUUUCCUCAUCUCUCCUUGAAGCAGUGUAAAUUGCUUUAAGACAGGGUUCUGGGGCUAUGCCAAUGUCAGUGGGAAAAGAAAACAGGGGUGACAAGACUGGCAUCAACUGAUGCUGUGAGGAACAGGCCAGCUCUUUAAGGAAGGUGCCUCUCAUCUGCUCCUGGCUUCUGUGCUCAUAGUUCACACUCACGGUGUUGUGUGCAUGUCUAGGAAGAUGCUUCCCAACCUUUUGCAGACCAUGGCAUACGCAGAAAAUGACAACAUCGGAAUGGCACACUGGCAUACCAGUUGGGGAUCCUUGCAGUCAAUGCUGACUGGACUCAUCCUUCAGCCGCCCCCAAGAAGAGAGAGAUCAAUACCUUGGCACAUCUGUGGGAAAGCUCCCAUUAGAGAGUGUGGGGAAGACACAGGCCUCCACAACACAUUUCAGGUUCUCUAAACUGGCAAAGGGGAAGAGUCUGGGCUUCCUUUGCCCUUUUGUUCUCAAAGAGCCCAGCUGUGCACACCCCUCACCCCUGCACUAUAGCUCCCAUUUGGGUAGUGAAAAAUCACAGGACUCAGGGGAGUUAUGCAGCAUUCGGGAAUGGAGACCUGGAAAGCCACACACUCCUCCUUGCUUUCCUGUGAGCCUCUCUUCUUGCUGUCCCCUUUACAACCAACAGUCCCUGCAGGGGGAAGACACUCUGCUUUAGUCAGUUCCACCUCCCUUCCAGAUCUCAUCCUCCUUUCAGCCUAAUUUUCCUCACACUGUCAUGCUCCUUCCCACUGCUCGCCCCCCACCCCCUACUCUCCUCCAGCACAUCACACAUUGCGCCUGGGCACACUGAGCUUGUCUGCCAUCUAUGAAGAGGCCCAUGUCACCCAAGCCCUUCUCUUUCCCUGUCAUGCCAUAGCCUCUUCCAGGAGCGCUCAGCCUGCUGUUUCUGCUCAGACCUCCCCUCCUCUGCAAAGCCUCCUUCUGCGUGCUGCCCGAGAGCCAUCCCCCACUUGGGUUUGUGUUACUGCUGUGUAUGGCAGCAUCUUCACUGUGCCUGAUUUCCCGUCUUGGCCCAUCGUAGGUGCUCAACAAUUGUUUCUCAAAUGACCAGCGCCUGCAGAGGGACCCUGACAUGAACUCCACCCCACCCCGACUCUUGGCAGUUACUCACUGUCCCCUUGAGUCGGGAUCCCAGCCCCUCAGGGGACCUGUCUUGCAGCCAUUCCACGCUCUGUCACCCCACUGCCAGGAGACUAGAGCCACACUGCCUGGAUGACGCUCAUCUUUACCAGCUCGCAGCUCUGCCAGCUGCCUGCUCAGGGGUGGCCGCCAGCUGAGGGAUUGAGCUGAUUAUAGGUGAAUCAGCACCAGGCUGAUUGUGGUGUGAAAAAGGGGAAGGGUGACUGUGUCUUAGCCUCAAUCCUGGCUCCCCUCCUUCCAGCCCUGACCUGCAGUAACAGCACAGGGCCACCAGAGGCUCUAUUGGGCGACUCAUGCCCCGCGGAGAAAGGCCCAGUAGGAGAGCAUCUGACCCAGUUCCCAGCAGAUGAGAAAGGAAGAAGAGUUCAGGAGGCUUCUACUCUCAGAGGUCUCCAGCACUGAAACCCCGCAGCCGCACCUGGCUGCCUUAUCCUUGUGUUUUGCCCCUCAUGGGUCUAGAAGCUGUUGUGUUACACCUUAACAUCUUCCUCCUUGCUUGCCAUGAGCCCCUCUGCUUGCAGCCCCCUUUACAGAACAACAGUCAUGGUAGAGGGAAGAUGUCUCCACUUUUGUCAGUUCUGCCUCCUUUAGGAGAGUGUCAGGCCUAACCCAUGUGUGCUCUGUCUUUCAGGGCAUGGAAAAGACUAUUGUCCUGUUUCGUCUUUUCAACACCUCUUGACUCUCUCCCCCUGGUUUCCUAACAGCCAGCUAGGUUCAGGGCCUCCCAUCUCUGGCCAGGAUUAGUGCAAUGGCUUUCUGAAGGGUCCCAGGCUCCAGGGAGCCCCUUGCCCAUCAAGUCUCUACCCUGGAGCCAGACAGCCCUUACUUCCAUCAGACAUCAGCCUCCAGUGGCUCCGAAAGGCCAGGCAUCCACACAGCACCCCACGGCCCCAAGAACUGGCUGCUUGAUUUUCCUGCCCUGUGUCCCUCCUCUCCUUGGCCCUCUACCCAGCAAUCACCCCAAAACACUGUGAUGUUUCAAGCCUUUGUACUUUGCACACAUUCUUCUCCAUGGCCUAAUUCCCUCUCUCCACCCCUCACUCCACACCUCCUCCACCUUUACCCUUUCUCCCCAUUCUUUCUUCACCGGGCACAGCCCUACUUAUCCUUCAAAACUGCCACUUCCUCUGCGAAGCCUUUCCUGACCCGUGUCCCAGAAUCCCUCCUCUGAACAAAUCCUGUUCCCUAAACAUGCAUCUCUCAUUGUAUCUGUCACUCAAGGGUUGCAAUAAUUACACACACGCCUGUCCUUUGUCCUCCACUGGCUCUGUACCUCCAUGUGGGACCCAUGGCCAGCACACAUUGGUGGUGCCCGAAAGCUGUUGCACUGGAGUUGUUCCUUCUGCCCCAUCACCUCCCACCUUGAACAAGUCCUUUAGAUGACCUGAACUCCAGUUUGUUGAUCUGCAAAAUGGAGAGAUGUGAGAAUCAGAAGAGAACACGUAAUGAAAGGGUGUUAUAAACUGCUAAGGGCUGUACAAAUGUUUGUAUUGCAUUUUUGUCUUCCAGACUAGUGUUUACCUACACUUGCCUGUGUGGAAAUCAGAAGAUUAAAGGAAUGCGAUGUGAUCUUUUUGUAAUUUCCCCACUUGGGUCAAGGGAAAAGCUGGUCAAGAGUAAACCAUUAAUUCAUCCCCCUGCAGGCCCCCCAAUCUUCCCUAGAAUUCUGGGUUAAUGAUUCUGAGGUUGUUUUCCUCACAGAGCCAAUUCAUAUCUAAUCUUUGGCAUGUUCCCCCCUUUAUUAAGAAUAACUUGACUCACCCCAUUAAUUCCUCAUCCUGGGGUCACGAGCCUUGUUUUGCAGAAGGAAAUGGUGGCUGUGUGUAUGUCUUGGGCCUUCUUUCUUUCUCAAACCCCUUUCUUUCAUGGAUUCAUGCCUACAAUUCCCUCUGUGGACAGAAGAGACCUCUCCUUACCUGCAUAAUGAAAUGUGUGACUUUUCUCAAAAGUAGCUUUAGGAAUUAACUGUGGAGGUCCAAGUAGCAAGGAUGCUGUGACCUAACUCGUUACCCCCUCACGUGUGGUUUGGAAUCCCAGCAGAAAAAAUUUCCUGAAGAUCUGGUACGGAGAAACCAUUCUGGGCCUGGCUUUUAAAUGUUUUAUUAGCAGCUGGGCGAGGACUGGGCUGCAAAGAGAUGCAGCCCCCGUCAGAAGCGAUCCCUGUUGGGGAGCAAGGCCUGGAAUUCCAGGAGGGAGGUCUGUUUAUAGCUGAGGCAGAGGCUGGGGAGCGAAGCCUGGGAGCCAGACAUGGCUUAAGGGUGGUCUGGACACUCUUGAGAUAAGGCCAACUAAGGACUAUGAGCUCAUUGAAGUUCCAAAGCCAACUCACAGCAGCUCACCACCAGACAUGUCCCCUGCCCCCACAUUCCCUCCUCUCAAUCCAGGAAUUUUGGUGCUCAUCUCUAUAAAGUUUUAGACCAUGGUGGUAGGAACCUGGUAAGUCUCAGGUUCUUGCAUUGCCCGAUUCUCCUUGGAUUUGCUGGGUUUGCCUCCUUCCCAUGUCUCAGACAGGGCUUUGCAUAAAGAAGUGGGCUGGUAGAUCUGCAAAGGUCCCUCUGUGUGACUGGAGCAAGUUACCCUCUUGAGCCUCAGUGUCCUCUUCUGUAAAAUAGGGAUAUCAUUCUUUCUUUCCCAAGGCUUUUGGUAAUAAUGUCAUUCUCAUGUGAUUCUUAACAAAAUGGGCCUUUCAGACUUAGAUCACUUUUGUGCAUGCAUAAAAAUGAAAGCAUUGAGGAGAAGGAAUUGGUGAAUAUAUGUCUGGAGCAAUAACUUCAUCAGAACUGCCACGGUGGUUGUAGGACCAUUCUGAUUCCAGAGGUAUUAAAAUGCAAAACACAAUGUUGAAAUGCAAAACCCAACAAAAUAAUAAACAGCCUUGUACCUACCGCCUCCCUUAAGAACUAAAACAAUUCCCAACACCACUGAAAGACUGUGUUCACCUCCUUGAUCCAAUCUCUUGCCUUUCCACCCCAGAGAAAACCACUGUCCUGAAUUUUUUCCCACUCCCUUGGUUUUGUUUUACCAAACAUGUAUCCAAUAUGUAACAUAUUAUUUGUAUUUGAUCUUGUUUUUGAAUUGUCCUGUAGGUAGAAUUAUAUCUUAUUCUGCAAUUUGCUUUUUAAAGUUUUUGAAAGAGCAAAACUUAUCUAUGCUAAUACGCUAAUGUGUGUAGCUGCCAUUUAUUUGUCACUGCAUAUACCCCUCUCAAUUCUGUUGAUGGAAAUUUAGGCAGUUUCCAGUAUUAUUUUGCUACAAACAUUCUCAUGGCUGUCUCCUGCAACAUGUGUGUUUCUUGGGAGUAUACUUAGGGGUGGAAUUGCUAAGUCUAGACAAUGCUCCUCCCUGUUCUGGUUGCCAACACAUGCUGCUGCUCCCUUACUCCCUCCUAUGAAUAGUGCAAGGGGGUGAGAGUUCUGUUCUUGCUUCGUCUUUGGAUUUUCCAGGGUUGGGAGGGGGCAAGUUUAUAAAAAGGAUGGGGAGAUGGUGGAGGUAGAGCUUCAAGCUCCCAGCCUGACUUUCAGCCAUAGUCCUGGCGAACCAAAGCCAGGAAGGGGUUGAGGAAAGCUGGAGCACUCAUCUGGGCUCUGCUGAGCAUGGGUGUGAGGUGGGGCUACCCUUGACUGGAUCCUGGGGUCUCAGGCUGCAGCACAGUUGACAUCACAGAAUCCACUGUGAGGUCACUGCUGGGCUGUGGGACACAAAAAUUCAGCCAGCAAGCCACUUUCAGAUGUAUGAUUCUUUAUUUAAACGGCAGUAAAGAACGCUGGAAUAGGCUUUCCAGGGACACUCCCAUGAGCUCUGGGCUCCUUUGCAGCUUCCAGCUCUGGGUCUUAUUUAAUGGGCUUCAAAGGUCACUGUCUCCAUGAUGUCCGGUGUCAUAGAACCAACCGUCUCCAGCCCCUGGCCACCCUCUGCUGUCUCGGCGAUGGCCACGUUGGUGCUCCUCUCCGCCAUCUUAGCCAUGACGUUCACAUCUCUGCCAUGUGGUGUGCCCACUACUUUUGUAGUAAGGUUGGCUCUGACGUUCCUCAGGAAAGAGCUGACCCUGCCAAGUCCCUUGCUGGAACCGGAACUGGUGGUCCAUAAGCUCCUCCCAGAUUUGUGAGAGGUCCUGGACUCCUUUGAGAUGGGCGUGUGGCUGACACCUUUAUGCGAGUCCCUGUGCCUGCUGCUCCCCGGGUUGCCACAGCCUUUCUCCUUUUUGUCAUCUCUAUUGGCUCUGUGGCUGAAUGAGGACCUGCUGGAGGACUUUUGGGCAAUCUUGUCUCCCCUUGUUUUGUGGCGGCUUUCACCUGUCCUGCGGCGAUGGGAACUCCUUCCGAGAGCCCUGUCCUUUUCCCUUCUUUCCCUCCCCUCCUUGCAGCCUUCAGCGCUGGCCUGGGUUCGCUCCCUUCCAUGCUGUCCACUCAGGCUGCUCUUGCUCUGCCGGGUGGAGACGGGAGGUCCCGCUGCUGCAUCCAUGUCUGCUUCUGCAGCUGUCCUGCUGGUCAGUACUACUCCUGCAAUGGCCAGGCUCACACUGCCCUCUCGGGAAAGGCUCAUGGAUGCGCUGGAAACAUGCUCUGAGGACUUGCCUGCAGCCCCUGCCACAGCCACCUUCGUGCUGUUUGGAGCCAUGCUGGCAGUGCCUGCAAGGGCCAUGUUGCCUUUGUUUCCUCCUGCACCGAUGGUGGCCGCCCCAGCUAUGGCUGCGCUCACCUGUCCAGGGGCAGAAUUGGCUGCUGCCACACUCAAGGCACCUGCUACGGUGCCUGUUGCUGCCCCUGCAGCUGCCCCUGCUGCUGCUGCCUCUUUAAUCCCCCCUGUUGCUGGCUCCUCAGCAAGUUCUGUAGAUGUUUUGGGGAUGGAUGCAUUGAGCACAUUAGUGGGUUUGUUAAAGUCAUUUUGGAGUCCCUCCCCUCCAGCAUAAGCAGCAGAGGUGGCCCCACACACCUCAGAGACCAUGUGGAGGCUUUGGAUGCUGACCUGGUCCUGAUCCCCCUUUCCUUGAAGGUUCACGGCUCCCAGGCUCCUCCUGUCUUCCUGAAACACAGGCAUCCACAUCAUGUCUUCAGCUGGAAUGCCACAGGUACUGCUGUUACUCUCCAUGGGUGGCCGCAAGAGGUAAAUUAGUUUUUCCCAAUAGGCAAAGAGGUCAUCCCGUGUGUCAAGAGCGGGACACAAUUGCAGAUAGCAAGAUCUGCCAGUGGCGAACUUCAGGCGCAGCUGUUGUUUCUCAUGGUCUUGAACAGAGAUCCGUACAAACCUCAGGGGCAGAAGCCUGGUGAGCUCUAAGUUCUUUGCUGCCUUGCGUUUUUUUCUCUUGGUGGCCUGGCCAUGUCCAGCAUACUCUUCGCAGCCGGUGGCCGGUCGUGCCAGUAGCAUGACAUCUGGGAGUGGGAGGAUGGGGCUGGUACGUGCAAUGCCCAUGGUCACCAUACGGACACGGUUGUGCACAUCAAUCACUUCUCCCCUUUUGGUGAUCUGGAUAAAGUCGCUCUCAAAUAUCGGUGCAUACUUGAAUAUAUCGUACUCCCCCUUGUACAGUUGUCGCUGCAGUUUCCCCAUGGUGGUGUUGAACAUGCUCAUGCUGGAGCCACUCUGGGCCGUAUAAUACGGCAGCAGAAAAUCAGCAUUCAUGGUUGUCUUUCAGCACAACGGCAGCACUGGUGAGGCAGGUCUCUGGGUCUUCCUUGGCCUCGGUGGCAGAUGAGGGACCAGUGGUGCUCCUGGGUCACAAAGAUGUCUCUGCAGCUGGUCUCUCAAUCCCACCCCACCCCACAGGCCCCCACUGUUGCCUCAGAGCCUCCCAGAGGCCGGGGUGGGGGUGGGAGCACGGAUGAUUGCUGUGGGGGGUGCUGUAGGGUGCCUGGACUCCAGACUCUUCCAAGACGUAGAGAUGCAGGGUGGGCUCCAGAGAGGUUUUCUUCUGGACCUAACCCCCUGACCUCCACCUCUGAUUUUUUUAAUUACAGUUUGUAGUCUCUCUCCCUGAGAGAGACUACAAACUGUAGUCCUAGUGACAGGAAGUGACGACCCUCUCUGCCUAAACCCCCUGUGCAGCCAUAUUUAUCUUCUGCUUCCCUUUGUGACCUGUUGCUGUCACAUACCCCUUUGUUCUCAUCCCCCAGGCCAGGGCCACAAUGCCCUCACUAAUACUCCAUUGCCCCCAUAGAGGAC